rnacentral:tRNA from 1 species
GGGCAUGUAGUGUAGGGGUUAUCGCGCCUCAUUCGCAACUUCAGGAAUUGAACCAUGAAGUCACGUGUUGAGGAGGUCUCCGGUUCAAUUCCGGACUUGUCCA